AACUGAUACUACCUGCGGGAACCUGCGGAAGGAUCAUUACCGAGUUUACAACUCCCAAACCCAUGUGAACAUACCUGUCUUGUUGCUUCGGCGGCGCCCACGGCCCUCACGGGCUUGGGGCCCGCCAGAGGACCCAAACAAAACUCUUUGCAUUUUGAAUACAGUAUUCUGAGUGACAUGAUUAAAUAAAAUCAAAACUUUUAACAACGGAUCUCU
rnacentral:misc_RNA from 1 species